AUGGCGUCGGGCUGCAAGAUCGGCCCGUCCAUUCUCAACAAGGACCUGGCCAACCUAGGGGCCGAGUGCCUGCGCAUGCUGGACUCGGGGGCCGACUACCUGCACCUGGAUGUAAUGGACGGGCAUUUUGUCCUCAAUAUCACUUUUGGUCACCCUGUGGUUGAAAGCCUCCGAAAGCAGUUAGGCCAGGACCCUUUCUUUAAUAUGCACAUGAUGGUGUCUAGGCCAGAACAGUGGGUAAAACCAAUGGCUGUGGCAGGGGCCAAUCCAUAUACGUUUCAUCUUAAGGCAACUGAGAACCCAGGGGCUUUGAUUAAAGACAUCCGGGAGAAUGGGAUGAAGGUUGGCCUUGCCAUCAAACCAGGAUCUACAGUUGAAUAUUUGGCCCCAUGGGCUAAUCAAAUAGAUAUAGCCUCGGUAAUGACCAUAGAACCUGGGUUUGGAGGGCAGAAAUUCAUGGAAGAUAUGAUGCCCAAGGUUCACUGGUUGAGGACCCAGUUUCCAACUUUGGAUAUAGAGGUCGAUGGUGGAGUAGGUCCUGACACUGUUCAGAAGUGUGCAGAGGCAGGAGCAUGA